rnacentral:rRNA from 1 species
GACGAACGCUGGCGGCGUGCCUAAUACAUGCAAGUAGAACGCACAGUUUAUACCGUAGCUUGCUACACCAUAGACUGUGAGUUGCGAACGGGUGAGUAACGCGUAGGUAACCUGCCUGGUAGCGGGGGAUAACUAUUGGAAACGAUAGCUAAUACCGCAUAAUAUUAAUUAUUGCAUGAUAAUUAAUUGAAAGGUGCAAUUGCACCACUACCAGAUGGACCUGCGUUGUAUUAGCUAGUAGGUGAGGUAACGGCUCACCUAGGCGACGAUACAUAGCCGACCUGAGAGGGUGAUCGGCCACAUUGGGACUGAGACACGGCCCAAACUCCUACGGGAGGCAGCAGUAGGGAAUCUUCCGCAAUGGACGCAAGUCUGACGGAGCAACGCCGCGUGAGUGAAGAAGGUUUUCGGAUCGUAAAACUCUGUUGUUAGAGAAGAACAAGUGCUAGAGUAACUGUUAGCGCCUUGACGGUAUCUAACCAGAAAGCCACGGCUAACUACGUG